UCCUUACACCUCCGCCCCAUCGGGGUCUGCUCCUCUCCUCUCUCUCUCCCAGCCUCCUUCCCCUCCCUCCGCUUGGGUCUCUCCACCCACCCAACCACCCAUUGGGGCCUCAGAGGUGAAUCAGACCCGUAUCUGCCCUUGCAGACGCGGAGCUCACGGUCUGAUGGAGGAGACAGACGCAGCGCAGACAGUUUCAAUCCAGGGUGAUCGGGGUACGACAGAGGGGAGACCAGCGGCUGUUCGAUCCCAGGGGCAGAAGGAAUCCUUUUAGCUGGAGACAUCUGAAAGGACCUCCAGAGAAGGCAGUGGUUGUGGCCUGACCUCCAAGAACUGGGAGAAGUUAAAUCUGAAUUGUCGAGAUAGAGGCAGGCAGCAGUAAGGGCGGUCCAGGCAGAGGGCACGGCUUAAGCAGAGGCCCAAAGGCAGGAAACCAGGGGCGAUUCCGGGAGAACAGCACAGCAGUCAAGUCCGACGGGAGCCUUAGAGGACAGGAGCCAAGGAGCAUAGAAGAUGAGGCUGAGGUGGUGGGCGGGGCCAGGUUCGCAAGCGCUCUGAAGGCCAGACUGGGGACUUUCUCCUGCGGGUGAUGGGGAGCCACAGAGGGUUGUGAGCAAGGGGGAGGGGCAGGGUCUGAUCUGGGAGUCAGAAGGCCCUCUCUGGGGCCCUGUGGGGGACGGAUAAAGGACGAAAGAGUGGUGGAGGCUGGGAGAGUGGGGAGGAGGAUGCGUGAGCUGGGGCUGGGACCCUGCAGGCAGAGAGGAGAGGAUGGGGCAGAGAAUGUGAGGAGGCAGGAGGGACUGGGGACUGACAGCCUGUGGGGGGUGACAGGGAGGGAAGAAGUGAAAAAGAUACAACAACCGGGAGUCCGUCUGGCCCAGGAAAUGAGGGGACAAGAGUUGUUCCCAGGGGGGAACCGGGAGGAAGAAGGAAGAUGCUGUGCACAGCUUGGAACUUAGUGGACAUUAGGGGCCUGGGGGCAUUUCGAGAAGACACUCAGGCAAUGGGUUCACAAAUCCCUCGGCACCUAAGACUCAGCUACUGCAGUUCCCACAAAUCCCUGAGACUCUGGAUCCACCAUUCCCAGCAGCCCCCGUGGCUCAAGAUCCGCUAUUCCCAUCAGCCCCUGAGACUCAGGAUCCGCCAUUCCUGUCAGCCCUGGAGACACAAGGGCCACCAUUCCCAUCAGACACUGGCACACAAGUACUGCUUGCAAUUCCCAUACCCCUAA
rnacentral:lncRNA from 1 species